GGUGAUCGCCGGCCCACCUUGGUGGGCGGGAGGAAAGUCCGGGCUCCGCAGGGCAGGAUGGUCCUUAACGGGGACCGGGGGCAACCCUAGGGAAAGUGCCACAGAGAGAAGACCGCCUGGCCUUGGCCAGGUAAGGGUGAAAGGGUGAGGUAAGAGCUCACCAGUGCCGGCGGUGACGUCGGCAGCUCGGUAAACACCAUCCGGAGCAAGGCCGAAUAGGGGAGUGUUCGAGGGUGGCCCGCCCGAGACUCCCGGGUUGGCUGCUUGAGGCUGCCGGCAACGGUAGCCCUAGAGGAAUGAUUACCACC
rnacentral:RNase_P_RNA from 1 species